rnacentral:lncRNA from 1 species
AACAGUUCAAAUGACAAGGACUUUAUCAAUUAACUAAAAUAAAUAUCUACCUUUAACAUACCACCCACUAAUAACUAGUAAUACUAUUUUAUCUCCAAAUUUUUAUAAGAAUGAGCGUUACUCAACAUAAGUUUAUAAUGACAAAGACUACUCAGACACUAAAAGAAUGACUAUGGAGCGACAUUAGAAUUCAAAAAAAAAAAAGACCAUAACAAUAAAUAAAACAUCCGCCCAUGCGAACAAGUGCAAGGCUCACCAAGAACUAUCAACGUGUGCGCUCUAAUUAACGAAAUCAUCGCCUGUAUCAACUGUUGUCUCUGUAAAAAAAUUAGCGGGGAGUGAGUCACUAGCUCAGUGAGUAAUAACAUUUAACCACAACCAUUUUUAUUCGGGACAAGUCAGAAAACAUGCUAGUAGAUCAAACAGAAAAUAACAUAAAAAUGCCCUUUCAGAAAUAAUAAAUCUUUUUCAGUCUCAUCACGCUUUUCUUAUAGUAUAAUAUAAUUAACAAUUCAAUAAUAAGCUUGGUAACCACUGUAAAAUAUUAGUAUUUACAUUUUGGGAGGUUUCAAUGAAUAAAUCAUGUAAUCGAUAUAACUGUGGACUUCUUUGCAAGAAGUCAUAUAUAACGGUAGUCCCUACUCGAGGGAAAUCGGUAAAGGUAUGCUAGUUAUAUCUACCCACUAGUGAGGGCUAUAACUGUACUCUGUAAUAGGUAAAUACAAGGUGCACCAAGUCUAACGAACCCGUCGUUAGCUACGGGAUCCUUCAAUGUCGACUCUCAUUUAUACUUGUCUCUGUAAUUCGUAUAUACUCAUAGAAACUAUUUUAAAAUAAUAUAGGGCAUUUUGGUUCUUAUCAAAUCAUAUAAUUUCUUUUCGAUAACAAUAAAUUUAAGUAACGGUAAAACAGAUCUAGUGACAACAAAAAUAUUUAAAACCACAGUACUAAUCUCAAAUAACUAUUUCGGUAUCAUAUCGAGUAAAAGACUUUUCCCACAUGCAACUCAAAAUAGUCGGUAACAUAUUCAUAUUAAAAAUCAUGUGUAAAUCAUGAAAGUUACGAAAAUACAAUUUGCGGUAAGAUUACUACUCACAGUACUCAUGCCGAAAUACCAACUGCUUAACCUCAAACAACUCGUAUAAAUUCCUCCAAUCAAUCUAUAAUUACAUAAUAUCAAUCUGAUGUUAAUUUCCUUAUUUAGGUUAAUUCAUAACUAUUUUAGAAUACCUCAAUCUUCCUAGUUUUAUACCUUAUCAUCAAUUCGCCGAAUUAUAUUUACCCAUGCUGUGAGUAAUUUAAAUUAGUCCAAAAUCAUUUAAAUAAAAGGAUAUUUAUAUGGUUUAUUCCCUUUAUUGAUCAAUUCCCUUAGUCGUGAGUAUAAAUUUGAACUGAAAUAACUUUAUCGUCAAUAAUAUUCCUGCUUAAUUAAUACCUAUAUUUUGUACUCAAUAUUAGACUCAUAACUUUCAAAUCCAAAUUUGAUAUUAUCUUUAAUACAUUUAAACACCAAAACUCAAUCCUUGCACCAUAACUUAAUUUACACCUAAUAAAGAUCAUAUAUAAUGAGACUAGUUUAAGUACAAAUACAUCAAUACCCUUCUUUUUCCAAGUUAAUUUAUCCUAUUAUAUUGACCAACUUUCAAUUGCAUAAUUUUCCCAAAAUAACUCUUAUUGUUAUUAAAUUUAUCAUACCUUAUGAAACCCUUCAAAAUAUGAAUUGAGAUAAAAAGAAUUACCAGAAAAAAAUAAUUCAGAUGAAAAAUUUGAGUGUUACCCGUAAGAAUCAGUGCGUAAGGUUUGAUACCAACCUUUUUUCUUCUUCUUUUUUUAUUUUUUUGUUGUUGUUGCGUUUCUGCAUUUCUGCUUCGACUAGCAGCAACCCCUUCCUUUUCCCCCUUUUU